GUUAUCUAGGUGUUAUAGUGCAUGUUGGUUUUUCGUAUCAAAGGUGUCGGUUUAGUCAGAUAAUA
rnacentral:tRNA from 1 species